rnacentral:rRNA from 1 species
UGGGGAAUAUUGGACAAUGGGCGAAAGCCUGAUCCAGCCAUGCCGCGUGUGUGAAGAAGGUCUUCGGAUUGUAAAGCACUUUAAGUUGGGAGGAAGGGCAGUAAAUUAAUACUUUGCUGUUUUGACGUUACCGACAGAAUAAGCACCGGCUAACUCUGUGCCAGCAGCCGCGGUAAUACAGAGGGUGCAAGCGUUAAUCGGAAUUACUGGGCGUAAAGCGCGCGUAGGUGGUUCGUUAAGUUGGAUGUGAAAUCCCCGGGCUCAACCUGGGAACUGCAUUCAAAACUGACGAGCUAGAGUAUGGUAGAGGGUGGUGGAAUUUCCUGUGUAGCGGUGAAAUGCGUAGAUAUAGGGAGGAACACCAGUGGCGAAGGCGACCACCUGGACUGAUACUGACACUGAGGUGCGAAAGCGUGGGGAGCAAAACAGGAUUAGAUACCCUGGUAGUCCACGCCGUAAACGAUGUCAACUAGCCGUUGGGAGCCUUGAGCUCUUAGUGGCGCAGCUAACGCAUUAAGUUGACCGCCUGGGGAGUACGGCCGCAAGGUUAAAAC